CCCCCCUUUUUUCGAACAUAGCUUCGUGCCACCGAUGCGAGGUAAGCCCUGCCCAGUGAUAGAUUUUAACGGCCGCAGUACCCUGACUGUGCUAAGGUAGCGUAAUCAGUUGGCUUUUAAAUGGAGUCGAGAAUGAAUGGGUAAAUGGGGGGGCGCUGUUUCUGCUUUGUUUAUUUGAAAUUAUUCAGUGGGUGAAAAUCCCCACAUCAAGAAAAAAGACGAGAAGACCCUUAGAAUCUUAAUGAGGACGCUGCUUUCGGUGGUAAAAUUUUUGUUGGGGCGACAACGAGGCAGGCCUAAAAAGACUUUAACCCUCGAAUGCAAGUGGAACACGACGAGUGUAGUAAGUAAGAUUAGAUUACCUUAGGGAUAACAGCAUAAUUUUCUAAAGUUUGUGACCUCGAUGUUGGACUAGGACCCUCACAAUUAGCCGUUGUAUUGGCAGGAUCUGUUCGAUCCUCUAACUCCUACAUGAUCUGAGUUCAACCGGAAGCUCCAAAA
rnacentral:rRNA from 1 species